GAUGAACGCUGGCGGCGUGCCUAAUACAUGCAAGUCGAACGAAACAUCUUUAUCACCGAGUGCUUGCACUCACCGAUAAAGAGUUGAGUGGCGAACGGGUGAGUAACACGUGGGCAACCUGCCCAAAAGAGGGGGAUAACACUUGGAAACAGGUGCUAAUACCGCAUAACCAUAGUUACCGCAUGGUAACUAUGUAAAAGGUGGCUAUACUACCGCUUUUGGAUGGGCCCGCGGCGCAUUAGCUAGUUGGUAGGGUAAAGGCUUACCAAGGCAAUGAUGCGUAGCCGAAUUGAGAGGUUGAUCGGCCACAUUGGGACUGAGACACGGCCCAAACUCCUACGGGAGGCAGCAGUAGGGAAUCUUCCACAAUGGGCGAAAGCCUGAUGGAGCAACGCCGCGUGGGUGAAGAAGGUCUUCGGAUCGUAAAACCCUGUUGUUAGAGAAGAAAGUGCGUGAGAGUAACUGUUCACGUUUCGACGGUAUCUAACCAGAAAGCCACGGCUAACUACGUG
rnacentral:rRNA from 1 species